AUUGAACGCUGGCGGCAGGCCUAACACAUGCAAGUCGAACGAGUGGCGGACGGGUGAGUAAUGUCUGGGAAACUGCCCGAUGGAGGGGGAUAAAUACUGGAAACGGUAGCUAAUACCGCAAACCAUCGGAUGUGCCCAGAUGGGAUUAGCUAGUAGGUGGGGUAACGCCUCACCGAGGCGACGAUCCCUAGCUGGUCUGAGAGGAUGACAAGCCAAACUGGAAGUGAGACACGGUCCAAACGCCUACGGGAGGCAGCAGUGGGAAAUAUUGCACAAUGGGCGCAAGCCUGAUGCAGACAUGCCGCGUGUAUGAAGAAGGCCUUCGGGUUGUAAAGUACUUUCAGCGAGGAGGCGUUACUCGCAGAAGAAGCACCGGCUAACUCCGUGCCAGCAGCAGCGGUAAUUC
rnacentral:rRNA from 1 species